rnacentral:rRNA from 1 species
GAUGAACGCUGGCGGCGUGCCUAAUACAUGCAAGUCGAGCGAACAGACGAGGAGCUUUCUCCUCUGACGUUAGCGGCGGACGGGUGAGUAACACGUGGAUAACCUACCUAUAAGACUGGGAUAACUUCGGGAAACCGGAGCUAAUACCGGAUAAUAUAUUGAACCGCAUGGUUCAAUAGUGAAAGACGGUUUUGCUGUCACUUAUAGAUGGAUCCGCGCCGCAUUAGCUAGUUGGUAAGGUAACGGCUUACCAAGGCGACGAUGCGUAGCCGACCUGAGAGGGUGAUCGGCCACACUGGAACUGAGACACGGUCCAGACUCCUAUGGGAGGCAGCAGUAGGGAAUCUUCCGCAAUGGGCGAAAGCCUGACGGAGCAACGCCGCGUGAGUGAUGAAGGUCUUCGGAUCGUAAAACUCUGUUAUUAGGGAAGAACAAAUGUGUAAGUAACUAUGCACGUCUUGACGGUACCUAAUCAGAAAGCCACGGCUAACUACGUG